AUGGAACCAUGGAGCUGGGUGUCUACUCCAAGCCCUUUGUCGCUUGUUUGUGCUUCACCAACCCCUCAAAAACUGAAGUUCGAGGCGGAGUUCCGGCGGCAUGUGGAUGCAGAGGACCAGCAGAGCGUCGAGGUGGAGAUCUGGCGGCGCGUCGAGGAAGAGAUUGCGGCGCGCAGCACCUCCUCAACCGCCGACAGGCCUCUCCUUCUUCUCCCCUCUCCCCCUCUCGCAAAGAUGCGCCGCUGUCCCGGUCGGUUUGACCAGCAGCCAUCGGCUGCCCCGCCGCUGCCCGUGACCGGCGCAACACCGGCGACCCGUCACGUGAGGAAGCCGCCAGUGCCCAGCCCCUCGCUCGUGCGGAGCGGACGGGUCGGAGGAGAGGGACCCGUCCCCGCCGACGCAGACCGAUCGCGCUGCUCGACAGAGGAGAGGAACCCUGCCGCCAACGAAGGCCGAGUCCGCUGUGUCUCGUGCCGCCGCCGCUGCUGGAGGGAGGAGAGGGACCCCGGCGGUGUCCUAUGGCGGCGGCGAGGAGGAGAGGGAAGGGUGGGAGGGGAGUGGGGAACGAUGGAGGCGAGGCAGGACAAAACGUGGCCUCUCCUUUUCUUUUUUUUUCCCCGAUGGCAGACGUGGGCUUUCCUUUUUUUUUACGGGACACGUUGGCUCCCCUUUUCGUGCCGAUCGUGGAUGGCAGAGUUUUCGUUCGCUCCUAGAGAUGUUCUCUUGUUUAAUAGUAUAAUAAUUUAA
rnacentral:rRNA from 1 species